rnacentral:rRNA from 1 species
AUUGAACGCUGGCGGCAUGCCUUACACAUGCAAGUCGAACGGUAACAGGGAGCUUGCUCCGCUGACGAGUGGCGAACGGGUGAGUAAUGUAUCGGAACGUACCUUUUAGUGGGGGAUCACGUAGCGAAAGUUACGCUAAUACCGCAUAUUCUCUGAGGAGGAAAGCAGGGGACCUUCGGGCCUUGCGCUAAUAGAGCGGCUGAUAUCAGAUUAGCUAGUGGGUGAGGUAAAGGCUAACCAAGGCGACGAUCUGUAGCGGGUCUGAGAGGAUGAUCCGCCACACUGGAACUGAGUCACGGUCCAGACUCCUACGGGAGGCAGCAGUGGGGAAUUUUGGACAAUGGGGGCAACCCUGAUCCAGCCAUGCCGCGUGAGUGAAGAAGGCCUUCGGGUUGUAAAGCUCUUUCGGCCGGGAAAAAAUCGCAUGGGCUAAUACCCUGUGUGGAUGAUGGUACCGGAAUAAGAAGCACCGGCUAACUACGUGCCAGCCGCCGCCGUAACAC